rnacentral:rRNA from 1 species
GACGAACGCUGGCGGCGUGCCUAACACAUGCAAGUCGAGCGAAUGAAGUUCCUUCGGGACUGGAUUUAGCGGCGGACGGGUGAGUAACACGUGGGCAGCCUGCCUCAUAGAGGGGAAUAGCCUCCCGAAAGGGAGAUUAAUACCGCAUAAGAUUGUAGUACCGCAUGAUACAGCAAUUAAAGGAGCAAUCCGCUAUGAGAUGGGCCCGCGGCGCAUUAGCUAGUUGGUGAGGUAAUGGCUCACCAAGGCGACGAUGCGUAGCCGACCUGAGAGGGUGAUCGGCCACAUUGGGACUGAGACACGGCCCAGACUCCUACGGGAGGCAGCAGUGGGGAAUAUUGCACAAUGGGGGAAACCCUGAUGCAGCAACGCCGCGUGAGUGAUGACGGCCUUCGGGUUGUAAAGCUCUGUCUUCAGGGACGAUAAUGACGGUACCUGAGGAGGAAGCCACGGCUAACUACGUG